rnacentral:piRNA from 1 species
UCACAUGAAAGGGUUGUGAUUGAUUUGAGC